rnacentral:lncRNA from 1 species
GCUAUUGCAGAUAGUCAUACAGAGAGCAUUGUUAUCCAAAAGGAAAAGGUUCUAACGCUUAUGGAGAUUCAUGGACUCACUGCAAGGGAUAGCUUGCCAUCAUAGCAAUACCACAUUUACCCGUGUCUUCACUUACACCACGCUCCAUCCGUAUGUAGCCUUCUUCACCCCAGCCAGUUCCCCAUGAAUUCUUUACGAUCCAGUACUUUUGAUCGCCUUCUACUCCAUAUCCAACAACAGUCACUCCAUGGUUGAGAUUUGUUCCACAGUAAUUUGUGAAAACACCGGAGGAGUAGAGCUGAAAGAUAAACCCACCAGCAUCGAUUCCAACUGAUACUGGCUGUUGAGCUGCAGCGAUUUGUACCCUCUAUGCCUGUGUAUGGGUAGUCGGUCUCCGUGGCGAGUCCACCAUUGGUUUUGAUGAAUUCAAAUGCUGUUUCCAUUAAUCCGCCACUACAGCCUUUGUUCUGCUACUGCAGAGAAUGCCCAGCAACCUCCUGCAACAAGAAAAACAAAACGCAAUCAGAAUGUCAUCAGUUGAAUAAUGAAUGUUUGCAAGGUUUUAUGUUUAGAAUGAAUUAUGUAAAAACAUAAUUUCAUACCGCAUUUUCCUUGAUUUCUGAUAGGAGUCACAGCACCUUGAGUCCUCCAGUCCACAGCGUCCGGGACAUUGCCUGCUGGGUCACAAACUGGUCUCUGCUUCUUGUGUAACCUCAAGGAAGACGUGUUCAACCCGAGAAAAUGGGCCUUAAACUCAGAAUUGGUCAUAUCUGCAAAUCUAUUAUCCGUUAGCUUAAAGGGCAAGUGGAGGGAGUUGAUGUAGUCAAUCAACUGGACGUUAGACUGAUAUAUCCCAAACCGUAGCAUCCACUCAUCCCUUCCUCCAUAUAAUUUGCUGUGGGUUUUAAGCCACUUCUCGAACCGCUGCUUCAGGGUUUUGUGUGGGUCAUACACAGAGGAAUCGACGGAACAUAGCUUUGAAGCUAUCAAGACAAAGCAAAUCAAAACGGCAAGGGUCAGGUUUUGUGUUUUGUUGCAGUUCCAGUGGGACAAGUUUCCUCCUGUCCCAUCCUUAACAAUAUGCAGAAACGUAAAGGUACUCGUUGUAAAACUGGUGCUGAUUGGCUUUCUCUGAAGAUUGUUGAUCCUUCCAUUGUAAACUUUGGUGUUGACAAUUCUUGAGUCCUUCUUUCUUUGUCAUUUCUAAAUAAAUACAAAUUUUUGACCCAAGAAGAUUCAGUUUCUUGAGCUAUGGAAAAACAUGUGCUGGAGAAAUUUGAGGCUUCCAGGAUCAAGUUCAUUACAGUCAGAAACCCUGUUGAGAAACUUUGUUCAGAUGUGGUUCAAGACUUGCUUGCUGAAGCCUCUUUCGUUUAUGGAAAACCAUUGCCUCCCCUUCUAAUUAUUACAUGAAUAUGCUUUGAAAAGAAAUCAUGAAUAUGGAAAGAAGCCAUGGGUAUUGUUCAGCUAGAAAACUGAACCAAGGAUGAUGCUUGCUUUGUCAUGCGGAUCUUUAUAACCUGUUAACUUCUCUGAGGCGGUCUAAUCAGUCCAUUACAGAUGAGAAGAAGAGCUUUCCGAGGUCACAAGUCCCCAUGUUCAAAAACUCCUGAAUCAUGACUGUCUGAUUUUGCAAAAGAAUGUUCAGAUGAUUCUGAAGCAGUGCCAGAAAGGUUUAUCUACAGAGAGGAAUGUCGGAAAAUGAAGACAAUGGUCAUAAGGGGUGGCUGAUUCUGUUUGCAGGAAAGAUCCAGAUAUUAGACAACAUGCUCUGGCGAGCGAACCAGUCUUACUUGAUGGUGACAACUCUUUUUGAGAAAUUUAGUUUCAGGUUCCAAACCAUUGAUGAAAGAUAAUGGAAUCUUCAAGAAUGAGGCAGAGCAGAGAACAUGAAUACAUUGAAACUCACCGGUCAAGUACUCAAUUGCACCUUAACAACGCUGGUCGCUAAGUAUAAGCCCCUGCUUCGGUUCUGGAUAGAUGUUUCCGGUUUGGUUUAGCCGAAUAAAAUUAGACAGGCUAUAGAGGAAAUAGUCUUUAAUUAAUUUAAUUUCGAUGUAACUAACAAUAGUACAUGUUUUAAGCGUUGAUUAACCGUUAAAAAAAGUGAUGUGAAUCCUACAAAUUUGUAAUAAACGUACACUUAAAAUAAACUUAAACCGGCACUAUUUAUGUGAAGGGCCAUACAUUAAGGACCAUUUCCUUCACGC